GGAAGUUUCUGAGAUCUGAUUUAAAAUUUAAGCACAAGAGUUAAGUUUCAUUUCCAUCACGCAUGUGCAAGUUUUAGAAGGGGGGAGCGCCCUGUAUUCGUG